AACGAACGCUGGCGGCAUGCCUAAUACAUGCAAGUCGAACGAGAUCUUCGGAUCUAGUGGCGCACGGGUGCGUAACGCGUGGGAAUCUGCCCUUGGGUUCGGAAUAACUUCUGGAAACGGAAGCUAAUACCGGAUGAUGACGUAAGUCCAAAGAUUUAUCGCCCAAGGAUGAGCCCGCGUAGGAUUAGGUAGUUGGUGUGGUAAAGGCUCACCAAGCCGACGAUCCUUAGCUGGUCUGAGAGGAUGAUCAGCCACACUGGGACUGAGACACGGCCCAGACUCCUACGCGAGGCGGGAGUAGGGAAUAUUGGACAAUGGGGGGAGGGCUGAUCCAGCACGGCCGCGUAAGUGAUGAAGGCAUUAGGGUUGUAAAGCUCUUUUACCCGGGAUGAUAAUGACAGUACCGGGAGAAUAAGCUCCGGCUAACUCCGUG
rnacentral:rRNA from 1 species